UGCCCCCCCCGGGGGGGAGGCUCAGGCCGCUAACCCGGAAGCUGCUCUCGGGAAGGGGAAGUGUGUGACUGCGGAGCUGCCACUUGGCCUCCAUGGCAGCCGCGGGGGACGCCGGGCGCAAAGAGGAGCCUGAAGCCUGAGCUCCCCGCUGAACCGCCCCCCUCCCAGUCCGCCGAGACCAGGGGCCAGCAGGGGAGGGCGAAGGCGCUGCCGGCGUCUCCCUGGGGCUGGUAGGACGGGCCAGGCUCCCUCCAGGGAGCUGCUGAGUGGCCUGUGCCUCGGGGCGAGCGGCCUUUCUGUUGCACCUGGGGCUGGUAUCGUCUGCGAGCGGGGUGGGCCCUUCUCUCACCCGGGCGAAAAGGUGCCCCCUGCCCCCAGACUGUGGGAGAGAAAGGGCCUUUCCGCUCCCCUGGGGGUGGCUUAAUCCCCUGUGGCCCUUGACGGGAGGCGGCGAGAGGGGGAGAAUCGUGGUAUCCCAGUUGCUGUUGACAGAUCCAGGGAUCGGGGCCAGGAAAGCGGGGUGUCUCUCACACACGUAGCUCUUGGGGGAGGGAGGGAGUUUGUGGCACCACCGGGGAAGAGGCGCCUCUGACCUUCAUGACUCUGCUGGAGCCACAACACCUGCACAAGUUGAAAAACUACAUGCACUAAAAGCUGGAAAAGUUGAAUUUCACUUUAAGCGAGUGGACAAAAAGGAACAACAUGGAUGAUUUCAUCUCCAUCAGUCUGCUGUCUCUGGCUAUGCUGGUUGGCUGUUAUGUGGCAGGGAUUAUCCCCUUGGCAGUUAAUUUUUCAGAGGAAAGGUUAAAGCUGGUGACAGUUCUGGGUGCUGGGCUCCUCUGCGGAACUGCUUUGGCUGUAAUUGUGCCUGAAGGAGUACAUGCACUUUAUGAAGACAUUUUGGAGGGGAAGCACCAUCAGGCCAGUGAGACGCAAAAUGUGAUUGAAUCUGAGAAAGUAGCAGAAAUAACAGCUGAGCAUGAGCAUGGCCACGACCAUUCAAAAUUACACGCGUACAUUGGCGUUUCCCUUGUCCUUGGUUUUGUCUUCAUGCUUUUGGUGGACCAGAUAGGCAGCUCCCACGUGCACUCUACAGAUGACCCAGAAGCGGCAAGGUCAGGCAAUUCCAAAAUCACUACCACACUGGGACUAGUGGUCCAUGCUGCAGCUGAUGGUGUUGCAUUGGGUGCAGCAGCUUCCACUUCUCAGACCAGUGUCCAGUUAAUAGUGUUUGUUGCAAUUAUGUUACACAAGGCACCAGCUGCCUUUGGCCUGGUUUCCUUUCUAAUGCAUGCUGGGCUGGAACGGAAUCGAAUCAGAAAGCACUUGCUGGUCUUUGCAUUGGCAGCACCUGUUUUGUCAAUGGUGACAUACUUAGGGCUAAGCAAGAGCAGCAAAGAAGCCCUUUCAGAAGUCAACGCCACUGGAGUUGCCAUGCUUUUCUCUGCUGGGACUUUCCUUUAUGUUGCCACAGUGCACGUCCUCCCAGAGGUGGGAGGAAUGGGGCAUAGCCACAAACCUGAAUCAACAGGUGGGAAAGGACUCAGCCGCCUGGAGGUGGCAGCCCUGGUCCUUGGCUGCCUUAUUCCUCUAGUUUUGUCCGUCGGGCACCAGCACUAAAGGUUCAGAGUCACUGUUCUCCUUGACCUGGUGUGAGCAGUAAAUGUCAGCUGCUCUUUUCAUCGUUGUCUCUCUUACCCCACCAUCCACCCCAUCUGCACUGUGGUGUUCGGGGGAAGCUUGAUUCCAACAUGAAGAAUUCUGGAAAAGCUUUUAGUGUAGCAAAAUGUACUUUGGCAGCCGAACAUAAAUUUUGUGUAAUUUUCUUUUCUGAAGACAUUUGAUAUUUUAAUUUUGAUUUCUUGCCCCUAUUCUCAGGGAAGAUGGACUUUGAAUUUUAAGAAAGAUGUGAGAAUGGCAGGGCACUCACACCAGGAUAAAGAUGUUUUGAUGGCUGCUCCGUGUAUUGUAAGUUGGCCAUGAAUUAAGCACGAGAACCUAGUGUCUACAUCUGAGCUUCAAAGAGCACUCCUGCGUGGAAUAUCGUAAAACUUUAACAUUAUCCAAGAGACCCAGGAGAACAACAGUAUUUGUUCAGGAACUACUGUAGAGGCUGGUGAUUGUCUUACAGGAUUUCUUGGCAGUGGCUGACUUGUGCCCUUAUUGUCAACUAUACUCAGAAUAACAUGGAAAGGCUAUGGAAUAAGUAUGUUGCUGUUGCUCUCUUCUACGUUGUCUCCUUGAUCAUCCUCAGGAAAUCUGGGAGGAGGAGUUUGGUUGCUUUUGUCUGUGGAGUUGUGGGGAACCCGUCCAAUGAAUUUCAGAUUCGAACUUUUAAAAAUAUCAGCUUUUCUCAUUUUCCUUUGGUUACAUCUUCCAGCAGCUCAGGCUUUCCAGGGAAUAAAAUUGCCUGGUUACUGCAGUUAAAGUGACUCAGCGUACUGAGCUGUAAUUUUAAUGUCUUUUCAAAACCAUUUGUACACAUGAAAUCAUUCCAUGAAUGGCUGCCUUAUAAUUUUUUGUUUUUUCCACUUUAAUUGUGAAUGGUUAAAAAAAAUAAUGUUGGUUUUUUGAUUUGUUUUAUUAUAUUAAAUUUUUAUUAGGUGCAGUGCUUAA